UACGGGGGGAGCAAGCGUUGUUCGGAUUUACUGGGCGUAAAGGGCGCGUAGGCGGCCACUGCAAGUCGGUUGUGAAAUCUCCGGGCUUAACCCGGAAAGGUCAAUCGAUACUGCAGGGCUAGAGUGCAGAAGGGGCAACUGGAAUUCUCGGUGUAGCGGUGAAAUGCGGAGAUAUCGAGAGGAACACCUGCGGCGAAGGCGGGUUGCUGGGCUGACACUGACGCUGACAGCGCGAAAGCUAGGGGAGCGAACGGG
rnacentral:rRNA from 1 species